GAUGAAGAACGCAGCGAAAUGCGAUACGUAAUGUGAAUUGCAGAAUUCAGUGAAUCAUCGAAUCUUUGAACGCAUAUUGCGCUCUUUGGUAUUCCGAAGAGCAUGCUUGUUUGAGUAUCAGUAAACACCUCAACCUCUUCUUGAUUUUUCAAAAGGAGGGUGGACUUGAGCUAUCCCAACAACCUUUACCGGUCGGCGGGCGGCUUGAAAUGCUGGUGCAGCUGGACUUUUAUCUGAGCUAAAAGCAUAUCUAUUUAGUCCUCGUCAAACAGGAUUAUUACUUUUGCUGCAGCUAACAUAAAGGAUAAUUGUCCUCUUUGCUGACUGAUGCAGGAUUUUACGACACUUUAUGUGUUGUUCAACUCGAUCUCAAAUCAAGUAAGACUACCCGCUGAACUUAAGCAUAUCAAUAAGCGGAGGA
rnacentral:misc_RNA from 1 species